rnacentral:piRNA from 1 species
GAAGACUUUGUUCUGAUCUGAUGUGUUUCU